rnacentral:rRNA from 1 species
UACGUAGGGUGCAGGCGUUAAUCGGAAUUACUGGGCGUAAAGCGUGCGCAGGCGGUUUGCUAAGACAGGUGUGAAAUCCCCGGGCUUAACCUGGGAACUGCGCUUGUAACUGGCAAGCUUGAGUGUGGCAGAGGGGGGUGGAAUUCCACGUGUAGCAGUGAAAUGCGUAGAGAUGUGGAGGAACACCGAUGGCGAAGGCAGCCCCCUGGGCUAACACUGACGCUGAGGAGCGAAAGCGUGGGGAGCGAACAGG